rnacentral:lncRNA from 1 species
GCGGACGCGGCGGAGGCGGGAGCUGGGGGGGCGAGGCCCGCGCGGCCCCGCUCGCCGCUGCUCGGCGGAGGCUGAGAGCCGGCGGGCAUCUGCAUCCCCGCGCCCGCUAAGCCCCGGCACCGCGGACCCCGGGCCACGGCUCUCCGUGGCGGCAACGCGCCGGGAGGACCGCGCGGGAGAGCACGAUGGGCGCCCGGGGCUCGAUUCUGCCACCUCCUUGAAUGCCAAAUCAAUCCCCAAGGUUGGUAACCUGCCAGAGAAGCACAGGCCCCUCUGCAUUCUUCUGGGUCUGGAAGUCCUGCUUGAAGUCUGCACUUCCAAGCUUCCUACCUGGGGCGGGUGGGUGCUCGCCCACCCUCCCGCCCUCUUUCCUCUCCACUCGUGAGCCAGAGCCGCAUCCAGCACCACGGACAGCUCCCUGA